UACGAAGGGGGCUAGCGUUGCUCGGAAUCACUGGGCGUAAAGCGCACGUAGGCGGCUUUUUAAGUCAGGGGUGAAAUCCUGGAGCUCAACUCCAGAACUGCCUUUGAUACUGAGAGCUUGAGUCCGGGAGAGGUGAGUGGAACUGCGAGUGUAGAGGUGAAAUUCGUAGAUAUUCGCAAGAACACCAGUGGCGAAGGCGGCUCACUGGCCCGGUACUGACGCUGAGGUGCGAAAGCGUGGGGAGCAAACAGG
rnacentral:rRNA from 1 species